rnacentral:rRNA from 1 species
GAACGGGUGAGUACACGUGGGUGAUCUGCCCUGCACUUUGGGAUAAGCCUGGGAAACUGGGUCUAAUACCGAAUAGGACCACGCGCUUCAUGGUGUGUGGUGGAAAGCUUUUGCGGUGUGGGAUNGNNNCGCGGCCUAUCAGCUUGUUGGUGGGGUAAUGGCCUACCAAGGCGACGACGGGUAGCCGGCCUGAGAGGGUGACCGGCCACACUGGGACUGAGAUACGGCCCAGACUCCUACGGGAGGCAGCAGUGGGGAAUAUUGCACAAUGGGCGCAAGCCUGAUGCAGCGACGCCGCGUGAGGGAUGACGGCCUUCGGGUUGUAAACCUCUUUCAAUAGGGACGAAGCGCAAGUGACGGUACCUAUAGAAGAAGCACCGGCCAACUACGUGCCAGCAGCCGCGGUAAUACGUAGGGUGCGAGCGUUGUCCGGAAUUACUGGGCGUAAAGAGCUCGUAGGUGGUUUGUCGCGUUGUUCGUGAAAACUCACAGCUUAACUGUGGGCGUGCGGGCGAUACGGGCAGACUAGAGUACUGCAGGGGAGACUGGAAUUCCUGGUGUAGCGGUGGAAUGCGCAGAUAUCAGGAGGAACACCGGUGGCGAAGGCGGGUCUCUGGGCAGUAACUGACGCUGAGGAGCGAAAGCGUGGGGAGCGAACAGGAUUAGAUACCCUGGUAGUCCACGCCGUANACGGUGGGUACUAGGUGUGGGUUCCUUCCUUGGGAUCCGUGCCGUAGCUAACGCAUUANNUACCCCGCC